rnacentral:lncRNA from 1 species
AAAGAGCUGAGUGGCUGGAGACAAUGAUCUGAACUUCAACUUCCGGGUCUCUAGAGACAAAUCAUUCAUGACAGCACAUGCAACAAUGUGGAUGAAACUUGAGGACAAAUACUCAACAGUGCCACUCACAUGGUGUGCCUAGAGCUUUAUCUGUUCCAGCGGGGUCAGCACCUGUCCCCAGGAAGAGCCAAGAGCAGGAGGCAAUGCAGAGAUCCCCUCGCUGGCCUCCACCACCACCACCAUCUGGGUGGGCACCUAGCUUGGUGAGCCACUGUGGCCUCCCUGUUUUGUCCCCCUGCCCCAUCCUCCUCCAACCCAGUCUCCCUCUGUAGCAGAUGUGAUCUUGGGAUAAAGACGAUGUUGUGUCCCUCUCACUGCCCCUCCUCUGGCUCCUCAGUUGCAGUGACAGGCUUGGCAUAGGCGCUGCCAGCCAUUCCCAUGCGCUGCUCCCCUGCCUGGACUCUUCUUGGACCACAGUUAGCCUGAAGGAAAGGAAGAGCUGGGGCCCUUCCUGCGGCCAGGACAGCUCUCCGGAUGCAUGUCCGUCCCUGUAUCGAGGAAGGGAGCAGACUCUAGGGAGGGCAAGUUAGGAGCUCGGCUGGCUGUAAAUUGAGCCAUAUCCUCUCAUUUGCCCAUGCCAGAAAUAAAGCUGUGUCCUGAUCUUCACCUGUCAGCAUCCAAUGUCUAUUUCUCAAUUACAUCCACACGGGUGGAGGAAGAGGGAUGCCAUGUAUUGGAUGCCAGUUACUGUCGACCUCAAAACAUCAACGAACUCAAUCUGUCACUGUUCCAGGGCUCUGACUUCAAAAACAUUCUAAAUCUGACCACUUCUUUUGGAUGUAGUCAAAGACCACUACAUGACAAUCACCAGAAAGAACCACAGAAGGGGCAAAAACAGGUGGUACCCAAAUUCCCAGAAAAUCUCUACCUGUUCCCAGAAAAUAUGUGA